GGGAAAAUGGCAUGGAUGGUAGUUUGGAAACAUCAGAGGAAACAGGGUCACUUGUGUUACUAGCAGGAGAGCUGGGGACAUGCAAAAAUGGAAAGAAAAGCAAGCCAGGAAAGGAAAGACGUUGAGGAGGUCAUUCUGAAGAAUUUUGAGCACCACAUGUGAGAAGAACAUAAAUUGCGCUGUAGUCGCACAGAACAUCGGACAGGACUCAUGCCUUGCCACGUUGACACAUGGUUACAGCUACUAGGGGACACUUAGCCUGAAGAGAAGAUUCAGCAGUAAUAAGGUACUUCCUUCCCUUCCGCCUUCCAAGUGACUAGAGUGCCUGGGCCAGUCUUGCCCGAAAUCGUAGGAGCUGCAGCCUCCAGCACAAAGUUCCACUGAGGGAUUGCACCGUGCGUCCUGGAGCCUUGAAGAUUUCAGAUUAUUUGCCUGACUGGAAGAAAGUCCGACCCAAGGUCCCAAAAGACCUAGCUGCUAUCCUCAAUCAAGGAUGUUGGGACUUUGGGCCUAAGGAGGUGAACUACAAGGUUUUAUAGGACUUACUGCAAAGAAAACCCAAAAUAGCUCUGAACAUUGCUUGCGAGUCUGGCUUUUAUAUCUAGGUUGGUACAAUAUACACAAGGGGGUGUUGGGCCAUUUCAACUUUGUGCUAAAUCCUCCUUAGGUAUUGAGGUGUUUCUGCCUCUCUUCUCACUCCUAAAAUGCAAAUAACUUAAAUAUUUGCUAUAUUACACUUCUGUACCUAGAAUAAUAUGUUGCAUUCAGGAGUUAUUCAAAACCCAUUGAAAUCUGGAAAGUUAAAAUACUUGCUAAAUUAAACAACAGGGAUUUUUUUUUUUUUAAGCAUCUUUCAAGUGUUAGCCCUAAGCUAAGCAAGGUAGAAGACAGAAGACAAUUAGACUAAAAAGGACCCUUGACCUCAAGGCAUUUGCAGUCUGAUAGGGGACAUAUUACUUAGGAAUAAGAUGAAUCAAAAUAGACAAUAGACAGCAUAUACUCAAGUACUGAAUUAUACUUUACAAGAAUGAUACUAAAAUUAAAAAGUAAUAUUGUUUUAAUAACAGAAAAUUCAUUCUAUCUUGUUGAAUGGAAUGAAUGCAGAUUGGAAGCUUUAGCUAUUAGAGAAUACUGAGGGAGACCCAACUGACUCGAAUUCCACUUCCCUCACUUUUAAUCAUACCCCGAGAGAGGAAAUCCCAACAUUGUCCACAACUUCUUAUGGUGUGAUCCAGUCUCCACUACACCUUUCUUUCAAGAAGAUAAAAGAAUAAACAGCUCUGUAUCAUUUUGGUGGGUUCCGUCCACUCCUAUAUCAUUGAGUCAUCAGUUGGCUUGACAUAGAGUCCACAAAACUAGUCCCUAGGAAGGAAUUUAGUUCCCCAAACUUAACCUAGUGGAUUUUAAGUCUAACAAUUGCUCUGCCACCACUCCCCGGAAGUGUGAGCCCUCCUGUUGAGCUGAGAGACUUGCCAGCUCUCCCCUCCCUGGAUGACAGUCGUUUAUUCAUUCUGAUAACUAGGGUCACACCAGAGUGUCCCAAAAGCCAAAAGAAGAGACUAUUUCAAGACAAGGAAUGGUCUACAGGGUGAAACACAGCGGAGGGUUCUAGUGAGACAAGAAAUGAAAAGGUGCCAUUGGAUUUAACUUCUGUGGGAACAAUUUGGGUGGUGGGGUGGGAGGAGUCAGGCUGUCUCAGGUGAGGGAAAGAGGAUGUGGAGGCAGGACAACACCUUUUAGAAGUAUGGGGGAAGGGCAGGAGAAAGGCACGUGGCAAUCAUUUAGAAGAGUAUGUAUCCCAAGGGAAAGGCUUCUUUAUAGAUGGCAGCAAGGGUUUAUUCCGAGGGGAAAAGAUAACAGUUCAGGCAAGGUUGAAGAGAGGGGCGACAAGCUCAUGGAUGGUCCAAAGGCAGGAGCAGGCAGGAGGUGCCGGGUCCAGAGAGCAGGUGCAGGGUCAGCUCACCUCUGAAACAGGGAGUAAGGAUGGAUGCAGAAUGCAACUGGGCUUUGGUCUUGGCUCAAGGGGAGAAAGUUCCCACAUAAGAAUUUCUUUCUGUGCAGUAAAAGGCAUUGUGGGGCGGGGAAGGGAAAGCAUGAGCCUAAGGAAGUCUGUGAGGAGGGGAAGAGGGAACUGGCCUGGGAUAUGUGAAGUGAUGCUGAGUGGCUUCAUCUAGAGCAGUCAUGCAACCCAGGCUGGGAGAAGGCAAGUGAACACGUCCAGCACAUGGGGGCUUUCAGUGCAGGUGAAUUGGAAAUAAAGGCUUAAGAUAUUGCAGUUAUUGUGGAGCGAGUGGCUUAAGUGAUAGGCCUUAGUAUUUAAGAGAAUAGCAAAGAAAAAUGAAACAAAGCUGGGGGACCAAAAGAGAGCAUAGGGACCAGCAGACUGGCAGUCCUAAUGAUGUUAAUUAAUGAGCAGGUGGCAUGAAAGCUGGGAGGGGAAAAGCCCUGGUAUGAGAUGGGAUGUUAAAGAUUUUGGAGGUGGAGCAGUGCCAGGAUACAUGUAUACGUCAUGUCUUCUCUACCAGCUUGCAAGUUCUGAGAGGCCAGGGACUGGUAGGUAUUGCUGUGUCCCCCAGAGUUCAGUGUAAAACGAGGGCCCUGACCUUGUGUCUUUCAUUUGGUUGUGUGUUAUCAUGAUGCAUUAAAGGACACAUGGAUCUUGUAAACUCUUCCCAGUCCCAAAAAAGAAGUUAGUUCAUUCUAAACAAUUCUUUUUUGUGUCUCUUUAUUAUAAAGAGAACUCAAAGUGAAAGAAAAAGUCAUUCCCAAUCCCAGUACUCCUAAAAUCGUUUUAUUUUUCCAUUUUAUAUUGUGGGUUUUAUCCAUAUAAUUAUUUAAUUUUUAAUAGAUUUUAAUUAUAAAAAAUACAUUAUCA